UAACAUUUCAAAAGAAAAUAAAACUAUUUAAAACAAUAAGAGUGCUUGAAAAACGUUUGGAAAAGUUAUAUAAAAAUGAUAUUAUUGAAAUUAAGUGAGCACGCUUAAUGUAAAUAGAAAAAGCAUAGGUUGUAAAUUCCGUAGUUGAAAAUAAAUGAUUUAAUUUUUGUUAUUAUUAUAAUUAAUUUAUUAGCACGACGAGUCAGAUAAACACACAUACACGCGCGCGAGCGUGCAUUUUAAAUGACGUCUGUUGAAACCAGAUAGGCAUCCUACACCUAAAUUAAAGCGAGGUCAUUUUUAUGUUUGAUGUACUUAGCUUUUAUGCCUAAGGUAGAUCAAUUGUUAAGAAAACUUUUCGCUCUAAAAGGUAAUUAAAACAGGCAAAGUUAUUAUUUAUUCCGAAAAACCUAUUUGCACAAAUAUCUUAUAAUACCGAAAUUAGACCAACGAGUUUAUAACAAGCAUUCUACUACAACUAUACAGGUUUCGAACAUCUAAAUUUAACACAAUCAAUAACAUCCAGCCCAUAAGGUCACACUCGGCGCGAAUGCCGAGAAACGGAGUAAGUAUACGAAUUUGAUUAAGAAAAAAAAAUUGAGUAAUAUUAUAACGGCUGUUACUGUGCCCAAAAUGAAUCGUAACACCUAUAGGAUUAUCCAUCUACUACCCUCGUCUUUGUCAUCCGUUUAAAUUGAAAAUAUAGUCCGACCGAAUGAAUGCAAAUGGGUACCACAGAAUUUACUAAUUCAUAAAGUUAAUCGCUCGACUAUACGACGACAACCAUUAUAUAAUAAGACCGGUACUGGUGAAUUUUACAGAUGUCGGUCAACAAAGGGGGGAGAGGUCACUACAGUACCGUAUCUGACUUAACUCUAUAGGGCAGGAAGGUUAACAAAAGGCCCACUUGAGGAAAGUAUGGGACUAUAGAGUUCAAUUACUAUGAAUGAUUUAUACAUUUAUUUGUUUCAAUAUCGACAACAUCCCAAUAUUUAAGUUCAAAUUAAUUUGUUUUAAUUAUUAAUUUAAUAUCUCUGAACCCCCUCCCCCAAACUCCCCCUUAACCAAAAAAAGAAUCCUGUGCGUGCCCUGGGAG